rnacentral:lncRNA from 1 species
CUCUUCUAGAUAUUCUCUUCCUUUGGGGCAUCCAAGGUUUUUGAAGAAAGAAAAGGAAGAAAUUAGCCUCGAAGAUCCUUGCAAACUAUCACUUUCAAAGAGCCUGAUCUGCGCCGAUCUUCAUGUGGAUAUUCUGUAGAGGUCGGACGACUUCAUGUGGCUGUGAGCAAUCUGAAGGAGCACCUAUCCAAGUUUGGACCAGUAGAGAUCAUCAACAUAUACUUCGAUAAUUAUUUCUGAACUUAUUUGAUCAUUUUUGAUAGAUCUAAGGGUUAGAUCUAGAUUGCAGCACCGAUUAGAUCAAUGUAAGUUUUAUUUUUAGAUCU